AUAGAAAAACAGGAAAUGAACCUGUACUUAAAAACUCAAAAUUCUUCGUACUUCCAUUAUACUACCUCCUA
rnacentral:tRNA from 1 species